rnacentral:lncRNA from 1 species
GUGGAAGUGGGUAUAUUCUCAUCCAUCAACCACAAAGAGUCAAACAUCAUUUUUCAUCACUACCUCCAGGGACACCCAGCAUCACCACCACCAACUCUUCCUUGGUAAACUGGGUAUAAUCCCAAUCUCACCUCUCCGGGGUGUUUGGCAAGUCUCUCCCUGUCAAUACAGGAGAAUGAUAGCUGUAACCAAAUGCUUCCUCUGUUGUUAGGCAUCUGCUGAGCCAGGAAUGCAGCUAUCUUAAGCAAAAGGGAGGGUU